CCUACGGGAGGCAGCAGUGAGGAAGAUUGGUCAAUGGACGCAAGUCUGAACCAGCCAUGCCGCGUGCAGGAAGACGGCUCUAUGAGUUGUAAACUGCUUUUGUACGAGGGUAAACGCAGAUACGCGGAUCUGUCUGAAAGUAGCGUACGAAUAAGGAUCGGCUAACUCCGUGCCAGCAGCCGCGGUACUACGGAUGAUUCAAGCGUUAUCCGGAUUUAUGGGGUUUAAAGGGUGCGUAGGCGGUCGGAUAAGUUAGAGGGGAAAUCCCGAGGCUCAACUUCGGAAUUGCCUCUGAUACUGUUCGGCUAUAGUGUAGUUGCGGUAGUCGGCAUG
rnacentral:rRNA from 1 species